CUCCAGACAUGGCACAAGCCAUGCUUCGGCUGGCUAUGUAGGAACAAUAUACUUAAAAUGAACAUCCUACCUCGUAUUCUAUAUCUCCUACAGACUCUCCCUAUUACUAUCCCACGCACUUUCUUCAACACGAUUAGGUCCAUGUUCACGAGAUAUUUAUGAGCACACUUAUCACCACGUUUGGCCUACACCACCCUGACUAGAAGUAAG